rnacentral:rRNA from 1 species
UACGGGGGGGGCAAGCGUUGUUCGGAAUUACUGGGCGUAAAGGGCGCGUAGGCGGCCUUCUAAGUCGGACGUGAAAUCCCUCGGCUUAACCGAGGAACUGCGUCCGAUACUGAAAGGCUUGAAUCCGGGAGAGGGAUCUGGAAUUCCUGGUGUAGCGGUGGAAUGCGCAGAUAUCAGGAGGAACACCGGUGGCGAAGGCGGGAUCCUGGGCCAGUACUGACGCUGAGGAGCGAAAGCGUGGGGAGCAAACAGG